UAGUCAAGAUGGCAUUUGUUACAGGAAGCCAACUGGUGAAAGGCAGAGAAGCAAGAAAGGCUUUUCCUAGUGGAAGAUGGCAAAGUAGUCCUGAAAUCAAACCCUAGUGGGUACCCAGAGCCUGCUAUUUUCUAUGUCAGUAUAUUCUUGAGCAUUUGGAAAUCUCCUGAAGGGUCUUAUCUGCCAGACAAGAUGCAACUACCCAAUCUGUCUCAGGGAGAAGAGACACCAUCCAGACCCACCACAGUUUGUUCAUCAUGUAACCAAGACUGAUGAAGGAGCUCAUCCAUGGGAUAAUGCACCAAGGAACAACCCUCUCUGGAAGGGUUCAAGAAAAGAAAACUAAGUAAAAAGUCAAUUCAAAGUGCAGUGAGCUUCUGGGAUAAUGAUCAGUGGGAACAAGAACAAAUAAAUUGUAGCAAAAGGCUGCUAUGCUGAGAUACUUAAGUGUCUAAGACAGUGAAAAGCCACUAAUCAGUGGGCUAUAAAAUAUUCAUAUCUGCAGUCAGCCAUACAAGGCAAAGAUGCUAUGCCAAGAAGUUAGUGGCAGCAUCGAAAGAGAAGAAGCGAUGCUUCGCUGCAUGUAUUACAGGAGGCCAGAGCUGAAUGCGCCAGUGAGAUGAAACUCUCUCUAGGAGGUAGAAAGUUAUUUAUCACCAGCUCAUUUAUAAAUGAGGUAUCUAUCUCUUGUGUUGUCCCCACGUUUCUCUGUCACACCUCUCACUCUUCUUGACUUGCAAGAUCAAGACAAGGGAGACAAUAUUUCAUUUGAUAUUAAAAAGUUAAUGAGAAA